CUGGCGUUGGAUCCAAGGUCCGUUAUAUAGGCUGAAAAAAGACUUGCAUCCAAAUCCAACCUCUCUCACAUCUGGUUUUUGCUUUGAUCCAAAAGAAGGCAAAAAUAACAAUUUGAAGCACUUUCAAAGUUUGCAACAAGUUAGGAAAAAAUUCCUUCUCGACCGUGGAAAGGCAGUCAGAUCUCUCCUUUGAUCAGGAAGCUGUUACCCCACACUUUAAAAAUUAUAUCACAUAUAUUAUGUUUUUGC